UUUUUUUUUUUUUUUUUUUUUUUUCUGGGGUAGAUAUAUUUAUUUUUUGGUAACAUACAUUAAGUGGCACUAAUUACACAGUAACUAUAAGGUAACUAACAUGAGACCACAGAACUGUAACUCUGCAACAGCUGCGUGGACUUGGGCCUUUCUGGCUGAGCAAGAUUUCAAAAAACUGAAUACCCACCCCAGAGCUCUGGCAAUGGAGUCUGUUAACAAGGAAAGCUCUGAAGUAGUGACUCACCAGAGUUCUUGCAGUUGACAGAAAGUAGGCAGGACAUGUUAGUUAUAAAGUAGUUACAGCCUAAUUCACAAAAGUUACCAACUGUUUCUCUUUCUAGAAAGAA
rnacentral:lncRNA from 1 species